rnacentral:rRNA from 1 species
GGAAAGGCGCGCGAUACAGGGUGACAGCCCCGUACACAAAAAUGCACAUGCUGUGAGCUCGAUGAGUAGGGCGGGACACGUGGUAUCCUGUCUGAAUAUGGGGGGACCAUCCUCCAAGGCUAAAUACUCCUGACUGACCGAUAGUGAACCAGUACCGUGAGGGAAAGGCGAAAAGAACCCCGGCGAGGGGAGUGAAAAAGAACCUGAAACCGUGUACGUACAAGCAGUGGGAGCACGCUUAGGCGUGUGACUGCGUACCUUUUGUAUAAUGGGUCAGCGACUUAUAUUCUGUAGCAAGGUUAACCGAAUAGGGGAGCCGAAGGGAAACCGAGUCUUAACUGGGCGUUAAGUUGCAGGGUAUAGACCCGAAACCCGGUGAUCUAGCCAUGGGCAGGUUGAAGGUUGGGUAACACUAACUGGAGGACCGAACCGACUAAUGUUGAAAAAUUAGCGGAUGACUUGUGGCUGGGGGUGAAAGGCCAAUCAAACCGGGAGAUAGCUGGUUCUCCCCGAAAGCUAUUUAGGUAGCGCCUCGUGAAUUCAUCUCCGGGGGUAGAGCACUGUUUCGGCAAGGGGGUCAUCCCGACUUACCAACCCGAUGCAAACUGCGAAUACCGGAGAAUGUUAUCACGGGAGACACACGGCGGGUGCUAACGUCCGUCGUGAAGAGGGAAACAACCCAGACCGCCAGCUAAGGUCCCAAAGUCAUGGUUAAGUGGGAAACGAUGUGGGAAGGCCCAGACAGCCAGGAUGUUGGCUUAGAAGCAGCCAUCAUUUAAAGAAAGCGUAAUAGCUCACUGGUCGAGUCGGCCUGCGCGGAAGAUGUAACGGGGCUAAACCAUGCACCGAAGCUGCGGCAGCGACGCUUAUGCGUUGUUGGGUAGGGGAGCGUUCUGUAAGCCUGUGAAGGUGUACUGUGAGG